GUUCAUCAUCAUCCAUUUUUUUGUUGAACUUCAUUAUGGAAAAAAAAAUGCCAUCAAUCCGCGUUGUGCAAUUGUUAUAUACCAUAGUUUAUAUCUUGUUAUAUUUUUAUACAUGCAAAACAAAUUUUGUGUUUUUUUUCUUUUCAUCGACUCAAGUCUCAUGCUUUGUAGUAACAGUGCCCUGACUGGCGGACAGAUACUUUCAGGAGGAGGUCAAUGGAGGGGCAGACAAUCGCUGGACCGUGACCACCCACCCCCCUCCGGCAGCGAAUCUUGCUGCAUUGACGGGCGUGACGAUCGUGCUUCUCUGCCUCUCCAUUCCUCUACCUGGGGUGUGUGUCCAGUUGUCCAGUUACGCUAGGCCGACUACAGAGGGGGACCCUCGGUUGUCGUGACUGAAGUACCCUAACUAGUUCUUUUGCUGGUUUGCUAGGUCUGUCAGACAACUAGGGAACUGGAUUAUUGUGGAAACUCAUGGGAGUUCAUUCUUUUUACAUUAAUUGUGAACCGGUUGGUGGACAUGCAAUCUCUUUUAAAGAGUAAUCUUGAUUUAAAAAAAAAAACUACUAUUGAUUGAUUUGGGUAGGAAAGAUCUUUUCUUCUGAGAAGAAAACUGAAUAUGAUGUAUGAAGGAAAAAACUCCCAACAUUACCACAAAUCCAGGUUUUGACUUGGUGAAAAGUGAUUUAUUUUUGUUGAAGAACUGUGAGGUUUCAAGGUCUUUUAGAAAGACUGUAAACUUAAUUUCAUGCAUAUACUGAAAUUUUUCUAUUUGUGCAACUUACAAUGUACUGAGUACAAGACGAGGCCAAGAAGUCUCUGAUUUUUAUGAGCAUAUUUUUUAUCUUGAAAAAAAGUCUUUUAAUAAACAUUAUUAUCAAUUUUUGCAAAGAUCUGUAGGAUAUCAAACAUGUUUCGUUUGGUUUUAUUGUUUUUAAUUAUAAAGUAAAGAAAAUUAAAAAAAAUUAAAUUAUGACAUUGAUAUUUUGUUCCAUUUAUGUGCAUUCCAAUUUUAAUAAAGCUUAAUAU
rnacentral:misc_RNA from 1 species